rnacentral:lncRNA from 1 species
UUAUAUAGAGAAAAAAAACAUUACAAAUAACAUGAAAUCGUCCAAGUACUAUAAAACGAAGAACACACUCAGCCGUAUGAGUAAGAACCAAUCCGUACCAUACCGGAAACUAUACCGGCCAAGGUGUGAUAACAGAUUAAUCUUUACAUUAUUGCUUAAAGUCUUAAACGCUUCCCUCCGUAGUAAACAGGUUAAACAAACAAAAAAAUUGCUCUAAGAGAGAAACGAACGUAGUUUAAACCUGUUUACCUUGUGCCCCACCAUUCCAAGCCUGUAACAAUCAAUUUGGGUAUGGUAAGGUGUGAGGAUUCAAGAUGAAUAGAUCAAAGUGGAAAACAAGAACUAGCUAACCUUAGCUACUACCCUUUUGUUUGAGGGUGAUCUUGUCCCCAAGACUUAGAGCAAUCCCUUGGGUCUUGCUCCUUAUCCUUAUGUAGCCACUCAAUGCUCCGUCUGUUUGCUUCUCGAUACUCACGUUCACAAGAGCAUCCUCACCAAACACACUUUUUGCGUAUAAGUUUGCUGCAAGGAACCCACAUUCUCCUUCUAGUUCAGAUCUGCAAAUAGAGAGAAGCAUUAAUUAGUAAGAAGAGUUUCGGCCUAUAAGAGAAGAAAGAAGAAUCUGAACUUACGGGCCAGUGAGACACUUCAUGUUUGUAGAUUUGAUUAUGUGGUCGAGGAACUCUCUUUCGUUCUCAAUCUUGGUGUUCACAGCAACCUGACAUGAAGACCACAACGCAAAUGGUUAAACACCAAACUCCAAACAAAGUGUAAAAGGUUUUGUGUGUGACCUUGUUCUCCCAUUCAAACUCUGCCCACAUGGUUCUGAAAGCAACAUCCGAGCAAACAGCAGGGGAGAUAUAGUCCAUGAUAUCAAUGUGAAUGUCGUUAAGAACCACGACGUUUCGCUCCAUCACAUUUGAUGUCUCAUACACGAUGUUCCCGAAUAUGACUCCGGUCUCUGUGGACGACACCUUGAUGUUUGCUUUUAUCUGCAUGCUCGUUGCAGGAGCAAGACUAUAGUUUUGAGGACGCUCAACAAGCUUGAGAUCACCCAUGGUUGCUAACUCCAAGCACAGAUUCUGAAGAGUUUCCUUUGUACGGUUGAUAACAGUAACUUCGAGUGCGAUGUCGUAGUGGUGGACAGUCACAUAUGCUUCAGCAUAGACUGGGUCACUGAAUCCUGUGAGUUGAAGAAUGCGGUUGAGUUUGUUCGCAUCGUUCUCGUCUUUUGUGAACUCUCCAGUAGCACGCUUCAGGUCAUCUUGUACCUGGUCUUCCAACUCAAGUUGACUCAUUCCCUGAAAAAAAAAACUUAUCAUCAGAAAUUUGAUCUACUGACAGAUUUUUAAAAACGUAACCAGCCACUAUAAACUUCUGUUGUCAUUCUUCAGUUUGAGAAAAUAAAAUAAUCGGAUUUAACUGUAAAAGAGAGCAGACAUCUACGUGUAAGAACAGAACAGAUUGCAAGGAACUCAUAAUAGUAAUUAAAAACAAUGAGGCAAGCGAUAGUUUGGAAAGUAAUAUUACCUUCCGGCUCUUUAGAUGGAAGAAGUCAAUUAGAUCAUCAGGUUGCGCAUGAGUUGUUUGGGUCUUUGCCUUAAGUUCCUCCAUCUCUCUAAGUUGUUUUUCAGAAAUCAUCUUGACAAAACUCUGGCGGCAGGAUUCCAACCAUAUCUUUUUCAUCUCAUCAUUCCUAUGGCAAAGCAGUUUUAUGCACAGCACAAUCCUCUCAUAUGAAUCAUUAUCAAUAGGGUGUGGGGAAGCAGGAGACUGCCCAAGUUGCAACAUGGAAACCAUGAUCAGCAAGGCCUGUGUGACUGUCUUGUUCACUUCUGUUUUAGAUGACUGAACCUCCUCCAACCUAAGAACAAGCUUGGUCAAUGUGCAAGCAACCACUGCUCCUAGGAAAAAAUCACCAGUUAGAAGCAGUGCUCUCAAAUUUCCAGAAGUCAGUGCCCCUUGAACAACUGUUGGUGUUGAGAAUGUGGUUUCAGAGGCCGCGCUUUGGGUAGCAUAAGUACCAUCAGCAAGAAUCACGGGUUUUCUAGAGGACACCAUGGCAGAAGAGGUUGGCUGAAUCUUCUUUGAUGUCUCAGUUGGCGCAGAUUCCUCAGAAACAGAGUAGAAUGGUAACUCACCAAGGCAUUGCUUAAUGGUCGAAAUGCCAUUCUCAACUUCCGAAAGUGAAAGGCAAUACUCCCCAAUGAUCCACAGUGCACAAGGGCAGACCUUUCCAGCGCGGAUCUGAUAGAACGUGUCCAGCAACCUGGUAAUGAUUGAAACUCUCAACUUGGGAUUUGUUUCAAUUAUCUCUCUAACAAAUGAAAUCACGUCAAGUGCUGAAGCCACAUUGCUAUCUCCCAAGAAAUCCAUUAGAAGAUGGACCACUGUGCUUGCAACUUCGGGGAACUUAACUGCACAAGCAUGAAUUGCUUGAAUAAGCAUUUGCCUGUACUCUCCAUUCUUCUCAAGCUCUCCACUCUGUGUCUUCACGACUUCUUUCUUCAACAUUUGAACGACCUCAUUGAUAUUGUGAUGAGUAAUCAAGUCAAGGGCAAUGUCAAGUGUCUUCUUGCGGAUAUCAAGGUUCGGGCUUGAGAGUGCUCUGAGAACAUCUAUUAUCAACUCAACCAUGAUAUCUCUGUGCAAUGACUUAAGCUCACUCAACCGAUCGAGUAAAAUAAGCUUCACAUUGUUGUCACUCUGAGAAAGAAGAAGUAGACAGUAGGUGUUGGCAGCAGCUCUAAUAGCAGUAGGGGCAGACGAGAGAGAAACAAGAGUCCCAGCACAUUCAUAGAUAACUGCAGAAGAAGUGGCGCUUAACAGAGAAAUAAUAAUCUUAAUAUAUUUCCCCUUCUCUGUUGGUUUAGUCUUACAGACACUUCGAAUCAACUCCAGCACCACCAUCUGAAGCGAUUCAUUCCAGUCUGAAACCUUGUCAACAUUGCUCAGAAGAUAAUUCACAGCUCGUUCUUCAGCACAGGUAAAGAGCAUUAGAAAUGCAUUUCUCUUGGCAGACGGAUCUUGUUCUGUUGACAGAGCUUUCUCGAUCAUUUCAGGUGCAUCAACGAAGAGUUGGUCGCCAUUUGGAAGCUUAUAUAUCGACAUGAUGGCCACUCACCUAAGUAAAGCCAUAGGAGAUAAGGAGAACACGAGAAUCUGGAAGGACCCUUGGCUCAGCUCAACGAAACCAAUGAGACCGAUAGGACCCGUCACAGAAGACAACCAAGACCUAGUUGUCGCUGAUCUGCUUUGCAGAGGGAGCAUGGAAUGGAACGUGAGUAAGAUCAAGAGCAUACUCCCUCAAUACCUGAAUACGAUUCUGAGCAUUAAACCGAGCAUCACAGGAUUACAAACUCAUAUGUUUGGUUAGCGUCAAGGUCGGGUUUGUACUCUGCAAUAUCUGGGUACUAUGCCGCUAUAACAAUGGAUCAACACACCCCUACAGCCAACCAUAUCCUGUAUAAGACCAUCUGGAACAGCAAAGUGUCCCCAAAACUUCAACUUUUCCUUUGGAAAAUAGUCCCUGGAGCUAUCACCAUAGGAGAGAAUCUAGCAAAACGAGGCCUCCUCGCUAACAUUACAUGCCGGCACUGUGGAGAACUAGAGACCACUGAGCACAUCUUCCUUCACUGCAACUUCACCAGACAAGUAUGGGCCUCACAAUUAUGGAAGCUGAAUUUCAAUCCGUCGGAUUGUGCAUCCUUCAGUGAAGCCCUCCUCUUGUCUGCCGGACAGACAAACCUUCCACCGUUGGGAGUAACAUGAAACUUUUUCCCUUGGAUUUGUUGGGGAAUUUGGACAGCAAGAAACUACCGGAUCUUCGAAAGCAUAGAUACUUCACCUGCGGAAAUCCUCGCAAAAUCCAUUAGGAAUGCAAGAGAAUGGGCGAAUUCCCAAUCUAUCUCCCCUUCGACUCACCAUAGACAAAACCUGCAUAUUCCUCCAGUUAACUCUGCAGUUAUAGAUUGUUUUACUGAUGCGGCAUGGCAGGUAACGACGACAGAGCAGGCUGUGGCUGGAUAUUCAUAAGUCAACAAAAGAAACGUCUACUACAAGGCACUACCACCUUCGCUCACACAGCAUCUACACUUGUGGUUGAAGCCUUAGCCGUUAGAUCAGCUCUCCUCCAUGCCCUAGAAGCGGGCUUCUCAAAAAUCUGUAUUAAAUCAGAUUAUCAAACACUUGUUGCUGCUAUCUUCUCGAAGUAUCACCCGACGGAUCUCUACGGAAUCACUCUGGACAUGGAGCACCUCUCUGUAUCCUUUGAUUGUAUUGCUUUUACUUUUAUUUCCAGAAACUUGAAUGUCUUGGCACUUGCUAAAUCAGUUUUGUAUGCGGCUUUAGCCAACUAAACCUUCGGUUGGUCUGCUUCUUUUUAAUAUAUUGGUGUUCAGAAAAAAAAGAUAGUUGAGAUUUAAAGAAACACACUAUCAAUUAUUGUCGUUCUAAGAACCACUGGUCCUGCCUCUUUCUUUCUUUCUUCACCAAUAAAAGUGGUCCUGCUCUGUCUUAUUUGCAUCUCUAAUAACGUUUCUCAUAAUAGCUGCUAUAGACCCAGACUAUAGUGGAUAAACAAAAAAAUAGAACACGACAAAGCAUUUCACCAAAAUCAUGGUUUAAUCUUCCCCAACAAAUGACAUUAUAUAGAGAAAAAAAACAUUACAAAUAACAUGAAAUCGUCCAAGUACUAUAAAACGAAGAACACACUCAGCCGUAUGAGUAAGAACCAAUCCGUACCAUACCGGAAACUAUACCGGCCAAGGUGUGAUAACAGAUUAAUCUUUACAUUAUUGCUUAAAGUCUUAAACGCUUCCCUCCGUAGUAAACAGGUUAAACAAACAAAAAAAUUGCUCUAAGAGAGAAACGAACGUAGUUUAAACCUGUUUACCUUGUGCCCCACCAUUCCAAGCCUGUAACAAUCAAUUUGGGUAUGGUAAGGUGUGAGGAUU